GUGCACCAGUCGCGAAUACUUUACAAUGUGCGAAAGCACGAUAAGGGAACUCUGAGUGCCCCCUAAGGAGGCUGUUCGGGUCUCUAAAAAGCACCUGAAGGAAGGGCUGGGUAAGACCGGUGCCAGCCGCCGCGGUAACACCGGCAGCCCAAGUGGUAGCCACGUUUAUUGGGUCUAAAGCGUCCGUAGCCGGCUGGGUAAGUUCCUUGGGAAAUUUGGCUGCUUAACAGUCAAGCUUUCAGGGAAUACUGCCCGGCUUGGGACCGGGAGAGGUCAGAGGUACUCCAGGGGUAGGGGUGAAAUCCAUUAAUCCUUGGGGGACCACCGGUAGCGAAGGCGUCUGACCAGACCGGAUCCGACGGUGAGGGACGAAGGCUAGGGGCGCGAACCGGAUUAGAUACCCGCGUAG
rnacentral:rRNA from 1 species